rnacentral:lncRNA from 1 species
CCAGAUGCCCAUCUCACCACAUCUCUAUCUGGAAGGUUUUGCCUGUGGCACAGUGUCCACUUCAUGAGGUUGAGUUGUCUCUGCAGGUUUUCCAUGAGUUCCCUUAGAGGCUCUUCAGGGGAUGGCCAGUACUCUUCAGGGAUGUCCAUUGCUUGCCUCAGCUCUGCUUCUCUUGUCCUCACUGCCUCUUCCUGUCUCUGCUUCCCUUCUGUCAGCAAGUCCCUCAGCUCCUGCAGUGCCUGUUCUGCCUGCUUCUGCUUUCUCUUUGCCCUCUCCACCUGAGACUCCUGUAACGCUGAAAGACUUUUUGAGUCUCCUGUGGCCAUGGCUGCAUAAAAAACAGACACUCAGUUAGCUGACUGUUCUGACCUUAGGAAGUGUCAGCCACAUGGCCAAAAGUGUAAGUAUACUAGUAUGCAAGUCUACAAGGCUUUCUCAUUCCUCAUUUAAUUGUUUUAACAAAAAUUUUUUAACACCCUUUUUUGUGUGCAAGCCAUCAUUGUGGAUAUUUUCAAUGUGGAUUGCCUUUGUGGUUUGCAGGGUGGGUUGCAACUUACUAGACUUAUUUUGACAAUUCCUUUUACAUAGAAUCAAUUGCAUGUAAAACAUUAAGAUGAGAGACGGAGUUUGAAAAUAUGCUUGAGUUUGAGUUUGGUAGCUUGAUUUUUUUUUUUUUUUUUUAAAGAGUGAUGGAACCAACAGAUUAUCUAGUUUCUGUGAAAUCUGUGUUGCCUGGUUUCCUUCCUGUCUCUGUGUCACUUCUUCCUAGGGCAUUUCAUGAUAUUUAUUUGCUUUCCUGCCCUUUUAAAUGUGCUACUAACCUGGUUUAUGCUUGUCACUCCCUUCUUACUCUUAAUUUUCCCUAGUUAAUAUCAUCUUUCUGUUACAUUAAUAGCUGUCUCUCUGUUGAUGCCACCUUCAUCUGUGUCUGUAGACUCAAAUGCUCCCCUGUAUUUAAUGUUUUAUUAAUGUUAUGUUUUUCCCCUCACUACCUUCAGUAUAUAUCCUUGACCAGCAGAUGAGAUGAGAUUUUACAUGUUUCAAUUUCAUACGUUAUUCAAUUUCCCUUCCUCCUGUAAUUCUUGUCCUGCUGAAUGGCACCACCUUACUUCCAGGCCAAUGGGCGUCUUGUUCAUCCUUCUUCUUAACAUGAAUUUAGUACAUAAUAUCUUUUCCAUUUGUCCUCUUAAACCUCUAUUUAAUUUCACUUCUUUUUGACACUCUAUCCGUUCUCCCUUAGAUGUUGCCUUCAUCAUGUCUAUCGGAUUGCUAUAAUAGUCAUUCUAUCUUCUAUGGUUUGAAGGUUUGUCCUCUCCAAAGCUUAUGUUGAAAUUUAAUUGCCAUCUUAAUAGUAUUAAGAGGCAGGAGAGAUGAUUAGUAUUGAGAGGUGAUUAGGCCAUGAGGGCUAUGCCAUCAUGGGUGGGGUUAAUGCUGUUAUGAAAGGUUGAAUUUUGUCCCCUUUUGCCUCUUGUGCUUCUGCCAUGUGAUGACAAAGCAAGAAGGUCCUUGCAAGAUGCUGACACCUUGACCUUGGACUUCCCAGCCUCCAGAGCUUUGAGCCAUAAAUUUGUUUAUUGUUAGUUACCAUGUCUCAAGUGCUCUGCUAUAGCAACACAAAACAGAGUAAAACACCAUCUUGCAGUCAUUUUUGUCUUGCGCAUUUCUUCUUCCUCAAUGUCUCUACAAU